rnacentral:lncRNA from 1 species
UAGAAGACCAGGUUGAUGAAUGGCUGCAGAAUGAGGUAAUUGAAGAAUCAGAAUCCGAGUUCACGAGUCCGGUUGUACUAGUAAAAAAGAAUGACGGCAAGCAACGUCUAUGUAUUGACUUCAGACGCAUCAAUAAAGUCAUCGAAAAAGAUCAUUUCCCAUUGCCGUUGAUAGAUGACCAGCUAGAUCGUUUGCAGGAUGCUGUAGUAUUCAGUACGAUUGACUUGAAAAAUGGGUUUUUCCAUGUUUCUGUAGCCGAAGAGAGUAGGAAGUACACCUCAUUUGUGACGCAAAGCGGACAAUACCAGUUUCGCAAGGUCCCAUUUGGUUUGUCGAAUUCCCCAGGAGUAUUCCAAAGACAUAUUGGCGCAAUAUUUCGAUCACUGACUAGAAAAGGUAUAGCACUACCAUAUGUUGACGACGUAAUUAUCCCAGCCAAAGACGAGCUAGAAGCCCUAGCAAACCUGAAAGAAGUUCUCAAGACGUGCGAAGAAUAUGGGCUAGAGCUGAAUUUUAAAAAGUGUCAUUUUUUACAAACACGAAUCCAGUUUCUUGGCCAUAUUAUCGAGAACAAGAAACUAUAUCC